rnacentral:rRNA from 1 species
UACGAAGGGGGCUAGCGUUGUUCGGAAUCACUGGGCGUAAAGCGCACGUAGGCGGAUUCUUAAGUCAGGGGUGAAAUCCCGAGGCUCAACCUCGGAACUGCCUUUGAUACUGGGGAUCUCGAGUUCGGGAGAGGUGAGUGGAACUGCGAGUGUAGAGGUGAAAUUCGUAGAUAUUCGCAAGAACACCAGUGGCGAAGGCGGCUCACUGGCCCGAUACUGACGCUGAGGUGCGAAAGCGUGGGGAGCAAAC